UUACCACUCUGGCCUUUUGGCUUAGAUCAAGUGUAGUAUCUGUUCUUAAUAGUUUAACCACUAUUAUGGGGGCACCGCCCUCAUUAUUGGUUAUCUAAUUUUUGCCGCCCUUGCCGCCAAGCUCUGCUUGCAACUUGGUGGUGCGAUGACCUUGCUACUGCACUAUUGGCUUGCGUCGUCGGGGGAUC
rnacentral:snRNA from 1 species